rnacentral:rRNA from 1 species
GACGAACGCUGGCGGCGUGCCUAAUACAUGCAAGUAGGACGCAGUUGCGAACGGGUGAGUAACGCGUAGGUAACUGCGUAUUAGAGGGGGAUAACUAUUGGAAACGAUAGCUACUACCGCAUACUAGUAGAUGGACCUGCGUUGUAUUAGCUAGUAGGUAGGGUAAUGGCCUAUCAAGGAGACGAUACAUAGCCGACCUGAGAGGGUGAUCGGCAAAACGGGGACGGAGACACGGCCCAGACUCCUAAGGGAAGCAGCAGUAGGGAAUCUUCGGCAAUUGGGGGAACCCUGACCGAGCAACGCCGCGUGAGUGAAGAAGGUUGUCGGAUCGUAAAGCUCUGUUGUUAAGGAAGCGGUACUUAACCAGAAAGGGACGGCUAACUACGUGCCAGCAGCCGCGGUAAUAC